rnacentral:rRNA from 1 species
UACUGGGGGGGCAAGCGUUGUUCGGAAUUACUGGGCGUAAAGGGCUCGUAGGCGGCCAACUAAGUCGGAUGUGAAAUCCCCAGGCUUAACCUGGGAACUGCAUCCGAUACUGGAUGGCUUGAAUUCGGGAGAGGGAUGCAGAAUUCCAGGUGUAGCGGUGAAAUGCGUAGAUAUCUGGAGGAAUACCGGUGGCGAAGGCGGCAUCCUGGACCGGCAUUGACGCUGAUGAGCGAAAGCCAGGGGAGCAAACGGG